CUAGUACUCCCUCCGUCCGAAAAUACUUGUCAUCAAAAUGGAUAAAAAGAUAUGUAUCUAGAACUAAAAUACAUCUAGAUACAUCCCCUUUUAUCCAUUAUGAUGACAAGUAUUUCCGGACGGAGGGAGUACUAG
rnacentral:pre_miRNA from 1 species